UACGGGGGAGCAAGCGUUGUUCGGAUUUACUGGGCGUAAAGGGCGCGUAGGCGGCCACCGCAAGUCGACUGUGAAAUCUCCGGCUUAACCCGGAAAGGUCAGCCGAUACUGCGGGCUAGAGUGCAGAAGGGGCAACUGGAAUUCUCGGUGUAGCGGUGAAAUGCGUAGAUAUCGAGAGGAACACCUGCGGCGAAGGCGGGUGCUGGGCUGACACUGACGCUGAAGCGCGAAAGCUAGGGGAGCGAACGGG
rnacentral:rRNA from 1 species